UGAACCCAAACAGCUGUCAGUAGUGUUAUUAAUUACAUUGCCUCCUCUCUCAAAUCAAGUCAAAUCGCGAAAAAUAAUCUCGUCCUAGCGCUACGGACGUUGAGAUGCGGAGUCAUCCUCAAACGAUAAAUUUCGCGAAUAAAGUGGAUUUAAUGAUUCGAUCCUCACACUUACCUUCCAUGGUCUGCAGUACCCGGAAGCCAAGUGGAGUUCUUCAAACAACGUCUAUUCCAGUGCUUUCAUAAUAUUUUACGUCAAUCUUUAAUUGACCAAAUUCUCUUUCUAACUGUCAAUUUUCCUUCUUUUUUAUUUCUAGGAACUGGGCUUCAGAUCAGCGGAGGAGAAAACCCCCAAUGGUUUCCCUGUAUUAUCGAUUAACUCAUACGAGCUAGUGCCCACCCUCGCUUUGACGGUGUAUGGGGUGUAACACGGUGCAAGUUUUGCAUUGUAUUUAUCCACAGCAGAGGACUGUUUAAAAUUCCGUUUCAGUACCGUC